rnacentral:RNase_P_RNA from 1 species
GCGAUGAACCAGACCGCCGCUGUGCGCUCAUCUUAGGGUGGGCGUAUGGAGGAAAGUCCGGGCUCCGCAGGACAUGAUGCCGGGUAACGCCCGGGCCCGGUGCUUAGGUGCCGGGACAGAGAGCGCAACAGAAAGCAAACCGCCUGCCCAGCGCCUGCUGGAUGGGUAAGGGUGAAACGGCGGGGUAAGAGCCCACCACGGCGGCGGCAACGCAGCCGGUACGGCAAGCCGCAUCAGGAGCAAAGCCAAGCAGCGUGGGGGCCUAAAGCCGAUUGGCUUUGGGCCGCGCCAACGGUCCGUUGGUCAAACGCGGGUAGGCUGCAACGAAAGGGCCGGCAACGGCCUUUCAAGACAGAUGGCGGUCAGCCAGGAGCGGCGCCUUGCAAGGCGUGCCUCUGGCGACAGAACCCGGCUUAUGGUUCAUCGUUUUU